ACUCCUACGGGAGGCAGCAGUGGGGAAUAUUGCACAAUGGGCGCAAGCCUGAUGCAGCCAUGCCGCGUGUAUGAAGAAGGCCUUCGGGUUGUAAAGUACUUUCAGCAGUGAGGAAGGCGGAGUCGUUAAUAGCGGCCUCGUUUGACGUUAGCUGCAGAAGAAGCACCGGCUAACUCCGUGCCAGCAGCCGCGGUAAUACGGAGGGUGCGAGCGUUAAUCGGAAUUACUGGGCGUAAAGCGCAUGCAGGUGGUUUGUUAAGUCAGAUGUGAAAGCCCGGGGCUCAACCUCGGAAUUGCAUUUGAAACUGGCAGACUAGAGUACUGUAGAGGGGGGUAGAAUUUCAGGUGU
rnacentral:rRNA from 1 species